rnacentral:rRNA from 1 species
GACGAACGCUGGCGGCGUGCUUAACACAUGCAAGUCGAACGGAAAGGCCCUGCUUUUGUGGGGUGCUCGAGUGCCGAACGCGUAAGUAACACUUGCGUAACCUGCCCUUGCCUUUGGGAUAACUUUAGGAAACUGGGGCUAAUACCGGUUCGGCGCUCCUGCUGCUUGUUGGGUGUUGGAAAGUUUCGGCGGUUGGGGAUGGUCUCGCGGCUUACCUCUUUGUUGGUUGGGUAGUGGCUUACCAAGGCUUUGACGGGUAGUCGGCCUGAGAGGGUGACCGGCAACAUGGGGAAAGAGAUACGGCCGAGAGUCGUAAGGGAGGCAGGAGUGGGGAAGAGUGCACAAAGGGGGGAAGCAGGAUGCAGCAAGGCGGCGUGCGGGAUGAUGGACUGCGGUUUGUAAACCGCUUUCGCCUGUGACGAAGCGUGAGUGAAGGUAAUGGGUAAAGAAGCACCGGCUAACUACGUG